rnacentral:rRNA from 1 species
AACGCGAAGAACCUUACCUGGGUUUGACAUCCCCGGACAACUGUAGAAAUACAGCUUUCGUAGAAAUACGACCGGGAGACAGGUGCUGCAUGGCUGUCGUCAGCUCGUGGGGUGACCUGUUGGGUUAAGUCCCGCAACGAGCGCAACCCCUGUCCUUAGUUGCCAGCAUUCAGUUGGGCUCUCUAGGGAGACUGCCGUGGUUAACACGGAGGAAGGUGGGGAUGACGUCAAGUCCUCAUGGCCUUUAUAUCCAGGGCGACACACGUGAUACAAUGGACGGUACAAAGGGAUGCCAAGUGGUGACACGGAGCUAAUCUCAAAAAGCCGUUCUCAGUUCGGAUUGGAGUCUGCAACUCGACUCCAUGAAGUUGGAAUCGCUAGUAAUCGCGGAUCAGCACGCCGCGGUGAAUACGUUCCCGGGCCUUGUACACACCGGUAUCUC